rnacentral:rRNA from 1 species
UAAUGGAGAGUUUGAUCCUGGCUCAGGGUGAACGCUGGCGGCGUGCCUAAGACAUGCAAGUCGUGCGAAGCUUCCCCGGAGUCUUCGGACACUGGGGCAGCUUAGCGGCGGACGGGUGCGUAACACGUAGGUGACCUAC